GGGCCUGUGGCGCAGUUGGGAGCGCGCAUGAAUGGCAUUCAUGAGGUCACCGGUUCGAGCCCGGUCAGGUCCACCA
rnacentral:tRNA from 1 species